rfam:Moniliophthora roreri MCA 2997 sctg_0981_0003, whole genome shotgun sequence.
GCUUCCUUGGCUCAGUUGGCUAGAGUGCAGGUCUCAUAGUUUAUCUAUGACAUUGGAAUCUGACCAAUGGAAUCCUGAGGUCGCAAGUUCGAGCCUUGCAGGGAGCA